GACGAACGCUGGCGGCGUGCUUAACACAUGCAAGUCGAACGGAAAGGCCCUUCGGGGUACUCGAGUGGCGAACGGGUGAGUAACACGUGGGUGAUCUGCCCUGCACUUUGGGAUAAGCCUGGGAAACUGGGUCUAAUACCGAAUAGGACCACGCGCUUCAUGGUGUGUGGUGGAAAGCUUUUGCGGUGUGGGAUGGGCCCGCGGCCUAUCAGCUUGUUGGUGGGGUAAUGGCCUACCAAGGCGACGACGGGUAGCCGGCCUGAGAGGGUGACCGGCCACACUGGGACUGAGAUACGGCCCAGACUCCUACGGGAGGCAGCAGUGGGGAAUAUUGCACAAUGGGCGCAAGCCUGAUGCAGCGACGUCGCGUGAGGGAUGACGGCCUUCGGGUUGUAAACCUCUUUCAAUAGGGACGAAGCGCAAGUGACGGUACCUAUAGAAGAAGCACCGGCCAACUACGUG
rnacentral:rRNA from 1 species